rnacentral:rRNA from 1 species
UACGUAGGGGGCAAGCGUUGUCCGGAUUAUUGGGCGUAAAGAGCGUGUAGGCGGCCAGACAGGUCAGCUGUGAAACUCGAGGCUCAACCUCGAGACGUCGGUUGAAACCGUCUGGCUAGAGUCCGGAAGAGGAGAGUGGAAUUCCCGGUGUAGCGGUGGAAUGCGCAGAUAUCAGGAGGAACACCUAUGGCGAAGGCAGCUCUCUGGUACGUGACUGGACGCUGAGACGCGAAAGCGUGGGGAGCAAACAGG